rnacentral:rRNA from 1 species
GACGAACGUUGGCGGCGUGCUUAACACAUGCAAGUCGAACGGAAAGGCCCUGCUUUUGUGGGGUGCUCGAGUGGCGAACGGGUGAGUAACACGUGAGUAACCUGCCCUUGACUUUGGGAUAACUUCAGGAAACUGGGGCUAAUACCGGAUAGGAGCUCCUGCUGCAUGGUGGGGGUUGGAAAGUUUCGGCGGUUGGGGAUGGACUCGCGGCUUAUCAGCUUGUUGGUGGGGUAGUGGCUUACCAAGGCUUUGACGGGUAGCCGGCCUGAGAGGGUGACCGGCCACAUUGGGACUGAGAUACGGCCCAGACUCCUACGGGAGGCAGCAGUGGGGAAUAUUGCACAAUGGGCGGAAGCCUGAUGCAGCAACGCCGCGUGCGGGAUGACGGCCUUCGGGUUGUAAACCGCUUUCGCCUGUGACGAAGCGUGAGUGACGGUAAUGGGUAAAGAAGCACCGGCUAACUACGUGCCAGCAGCCGCGGUGAUACGUAGGGUGCGAGCGUUGUCCGGAUUUAUUGGGCGUAAAGGGCUCGUAGGUGGUUGAUCGCGUCGGAAGUGUAAUCUUGGGGCUUAACCCUGAGCGUGCUUUCGAUACGGGUUGACUUGAGGAAGGUAGGGGAGAAUGGAAUUCCUGGUGGAGCGGUGGAAUGCGCAGAUAUCAGGAGGAACACCAGUGGCGAAGGCGGUUCUCUGGGCCUUUCCUGACGCUGAGGAGCGAAAGCGUGGGGAGCGAACAGGCUUAGAUACCCUGGUAGUCCACGCUGUAAACGGUGGGUACUAGGUGUGGGGUCCGUUCCACGGGUUCCGUGCCGUAGCUAACGCUUUAAGUACCCCGCCUGGGGAGUACGGCCGCGAGGCUAAAACUCAAAGGAAUUGACGGGGCCCCGCACAAGCGGCGGAGCAUGCGGAUUAAUUCGAUGCAACGCGUAGAACCUUACCUGGGUUUGACAUGGAUCGGGAGUGCUCAGAGAUGGGUGUGCCUCUUUUGGGGUCGGUUCACAGGUGGUGCAUGGCUGUCGUCAGCUCGUGUCGUGAGAUGUUGGGUUAAGUCCCGCAACGAGCGCAACCCUUGUUCACUGUUGCCAGCACGUUAUGGUGGGGACUCAGUGGAGACCGCCGGGGUCAACUCGGAGGAAGGUGGGGAUGACGUCAAGUCAUCAUGCCCCUUAUGUCCAGGGCUUCUCGCAUGCUACAAUGGCUGGUACAGAGAGUGGCGAGCCUGUGAGGGUGAGCGAAUCUCGGAAAGCCGGUCUCAGUUCGGAUUGGGGUCUGCAACUCGACCUCAUGAAGUCGGAGUCGCUAGUAAUCGCAGAUCAGCAACGCUGCGGUGAAUACGUUCCCGGGGCU